rnacentral:misc_RNA from 1 species
GAUGAAGAACGUAGCGAAAUGCGAUACGUAAUGUGAAUUGCAGAAUUCAGUGAAUCAUCGAGUCUUUGAACGCACAAUGCGCCCCCUGGUAUUCCGGGGGGCAUGCCUGUCCGAGCGUCAUUGCUGCCCUCAAGCACGGCUUGUGUGUUGGGCCUCCGUCCUCCUCCCGGGGGACGGGCCCGAAAGGCAGCGGCGGCACCGCGUCCGGUCCUCGAGCGUAUGGGGCUUCGUCACCCGCUCUUGUAGGCCCGGCCGGCGCUUGCCGACACAUCAAUCUUUUUUCCAGGUUGACCUCGGAUCAGGUAGGGAUACCCGCUGAACUUAAGCAUAUCAAUAAGCGGAGGA